rnacentral:rRNA from 1 species
CCUACGGGGGGCAGCAGUGAGGAAUAUUGGUCAAUGGCCGAGAGGCUGAACCAGCCAAGUCGCGUGAGGGAUGACGGCCCUACGGGUUGUAAACCUCUUUUGUCGGGGAGCAAGACCCGCCUCGUGCAGGCGGAGCGAGAGUACCCGAAGAAAAAGCAUCGGCUAACUCCGUGCCAGCAGCCGCGGUAAUACGGAGGAUGCGAGCGUUAUCCGGAUUUAUUGGGUUUAAAGGGUGCGCAGGCGGACCAUCAAGUCAGCGGUAAAAUCGUGGGGCCCAACCCCAUCCCGCCGUUGAAACUGGCGGG